GCCUCGGUGGAUCAUGGUGGAUCGUCCCUGUUACUUCAGUCGGUAUGUGUACCACCAGUUCUACAGCGGGAGGAUGAGGGUUCGAAUCCCUCUCGAGGCA